rnacentral:pre_miRNA from 1 species
GGAAACAUGAAAACUACCGUUGGAUAUGUUUGAGAUUCGUCCACGUCAUCAUGAGUACCAAUGUUACUCAUAGGCUUACUCAUGAGUAAAAAUCAUGGUGACGUGGACUAAUCUCAUACGUCGAUUUUUUAAUCCAACGGUAGUUUCCAGGUUUCC